AUUGAACGCUGGCGGCAGGCCUAACACAUGCAAGUCGAGCGGGGUUUUCGGACCUAGCGGCGGACGGGUGAGUAAUGCGUAGGAAGCUGCCCGAUAGAGGGGGAUACCAGUUGGAAACGACUGUUAAUACCGCAUAAUGUCUACGGACCAAAGUGUGGGACCUUCGGGCCACAUGCUAUCGGAUGCGCCUACGUGGGAUUAGCUAGUUGGUGAGGUAAUGGCUCACCAAGGCGACGAUCUCUAGCUGGUUUGAGUGGAUGAUCAGCCACACUGGAACUGAGACACGGUCCAGACUCCUACGGGAGGGAGCAGUGGGGAAUAUUGGACAAUGGGCGCAAGCCUGAUCCAGCCAUGCCGCGUGUGUGAAGAAGGCCUUCGGGUUGUAAAGCACUUUCAGCGAGGAGGAAGGGUUAGUCGUUAAUAGCGGCUAAUUUUGACGUUACUCGCAGAAGAAGCACCGGCUAACUCUGUGCCAGCCGCCGCGGUAAAAC
rnacentral:rRNA from 1 species